rnacentral:lncRNA from 1 species
UUUCUUCUUCUUCUUCUUCUUCUUCUUCUUCUUCUCCUCUUCUUCCCUUCUUCUCCCCGAUGCCCCACACAUGAACUCCUCAGUUUCCUCCUACACGAAACAGAGGUGCUGCAGCCCUAGCUGCUGCAGCUAUCUCUCUUUCCUCUCCCUCUUCCCUCUCUUCUUCUUCUUCUUUUCUUCUCUUCUCCCUCUUCUUCCUCUCUUCUUUUC